rnacentral:misc_RNA from 1 species
UUUCCGUAGGUGAACCUGCGGAAGGAUCAUUACCGAGUUCAUGCCCUUCGGGGUAGAUCUCCCACCCUUUGUAUACUAUACCUUUGUUGCUUUGGCGGGCCGCCUAGCUACUGGCUUCGGCUGGUAAGUGCCCGCCAGAGAACCCAAAACCCUGAAUUAUUAGUGUCGUCUGAGUAAAAUAUCUAAUAUUUAAAACUUUCAACAACGGAUCUCUUGGCUCUG